rnacentral:rRNA from 1 species
GACGAACGCUGGCGGCGUGCUUAACACAUGCAAGUCGAACGGAAAGGCCCUGCUUUUGUGGGGUGCUCGAGUGGCGAACGGGUGAGUAACACGUGAGUAACCUGCCCUGGACUUUGGGAUAACUUCAGGAAACUGGUGCUAAUACCGGAUAGGAGCUCCUGCUGCAUGGUGGGGGUUGGAAAGUUUCGGCGGUUGGGGAUGGACUCGCGGCUUAUCAGCUUGUUGGUUGGGUAGUGGCUUACCAAGGCUUUGACGGGUAGCCGGCCUGGGAGGGUGACCGGCGACAUUGGGACUGAGAUACGGCCCAGACUCCUACGGGAGGCAGCAGUGGGGAAUAUUGCACAAUGGGCGGAAGCGUGAUGCAGCGACGCCGCGUGCGGGAUGACGGCCUUCGGGUUGUAAACCGCUUUCGCCUGUGACGAAGCGUGAGUGACGGUAAUGGGUAAAGAAGCACCGGCUAACUACGUG